rnacentral:rRNA from 1 species
UACGGAGGGUGCAAGCGUUAUCCGGAUUCACUGGGUUUAAAGGGUGCGUAAGUGGGUUUGUAAGUCAGUGGUGAAAUCUCCAAGCUUAACUUGGAAACUGCCGUUGAUACUAUAAAUCUUGAAUGUUGUGGAGGUGAGCGGAAUAUGUCAUGUAGCGGUGAAAUGCUUAGAUAUGACAUAGAACACCAAUUGCGAAGGCAGCUCACUACACAAAGAUUGACACUGAGGCACGAAAGCGUGGGGAUCAAACAGG